GGGUCAGUAGGUUGGUCGUGCCACCGGUACGUACUGGUCUCACUGAUUCCUCCUUCCUGAAGAACCGUAAUGCCAUUAAUUUGGUGUUGCGGGGAAACAGGACUGUUACUUUGAAAAAAUUAGAGUGUUUAAAGCAAGCUAACGCUUGAAUACAUUAGCAUGGAACAAUGAAAUAGGACGAUCGAUCCUAUUUUGUUGGUCUCUAGGAUUGACGUA
rnacentral:rRNA from 1 species